rnacentral:rRNA from 1 species
CCUACGGGAGGCAGCAGUGAGGAAUAUUGGUCAAUGGACGAGAGUCUGAACCAGCCAAGUAGCGUGAAGGAUGACUGCCCUAUGGGUUGUAAACUUCUUUUAUAUGGGAAUAAAAUGUUCCACGUGUGGGAUUUUGUAUGUACCAUAUGAAUAAGGAUCGGUUAACUCAGUGCCAGCAGCCGCGGGAAUACGGAGGAUCCGAGCGUUAUCCGGAUUUAAUGGGUUUAAAGGGAGCGUAGGUGGAUUGUUAAGUCAGUUUUGAAAGUUUGCGGCUCAACCGUAAAAUUGCAGUUGAAACUGGCAGUCUUGAGUACAGUAGAGGUGGGCGGAAUUCGUGGUGUAGCGGUGAAAUGCUUAGAUAUCACGAAGAACUCCGAUUGCGAAGGCAGCUCACUGGACUGCAACUGACACUGAGGCUCGAAAGUGUGGGUAUCAAACAGGAUUAGAUACCCGAGUAGUC